GAUGAACGCUGACAGAAUGCUUAACACAUGCAAGUCAACUUGAACUUCGGUUUGGGUGGCGGACGGGUGAGUAACGCGUAAAGAACUUGCCUCACAGAUAGGGACAACAUUUGGAAACGAAUGCUAAUACCUGAUAUUAUGAUUAUAUGGCAUCGUAUAAUUAUGAAAGCUAUAUGCGCUGUGAGAGAGCUUUGCGUCCCAUUAGCUAGUUGGAGAGGUAACGGCUCACCAAGGCGAUGAUGGGUAGCCGGCCUGAGAGGGUGAUCGGCCACAAGGGGACUGAGACACGGCCCUUACUCCUACGGGAGGCAGCAGUGGGGAAUAUUGGACAAUGGACCAAGAGUCUGAUCCAGCAAUUCUGUGUGCAAGAUGAAGUUUUUCGGAAUGUAAAGUGCUUUCAGUUGAGAAGAAAAAAAUGACGGUACCAACAGAAGAAGUGACGGCUAAAUACGUG
rnacentral:rRNA from 1 species